UACGGAGGGUGCAAGCGUUAUCCGGAUUCACUGGGUUUAAAGGGUGCGUAGGUGGGUCUGUAAGUCAGUGGCGAAAUCUUCGAGCUUAACUCGGAAACUGCCAUUGAUACUAUAGAUCUUGAAUUUUCUGGAGGUAAGCGGAAUAUGUCAUGUAGCGGUGAAAUGCUUAGAUAUGACAUAGAACACCAAUUGCGAAGGCAGCUCGCUACACGAAUAUUGACUCUGAGGCACGAAAGCGUGGGGAUCAAACAGG
rnacentral:rRNA from 1 species